CGAUGAUACGCGAGGAACCUUACCUGGGCUCAAAUGUAUGUUGACGUAUUCUGAAAGGGAUACUUCUUCGGACAAUAUACAAGGUGCUGCAUGGUUGUCGUCAGCUCGUGCCGUGAGGUGUCGGGUUAAGUCCCAUAACGAGCGCAACCCCUAUCAUUAGUUGCCAUCAGGUCAAGCUGGGGACUCUAAUGAAACUGCCUACGCAAGUAGUGAGGAAGGCGGGGAUGACGUCAAAUCAGCACGGCCCUUACGUCCAGGGCUACACACGUGCUACAAUGGCCGAUACAGAGGGCAGCUACCUGGUGACAGGAUGCAAAUCUACCAAAGUCGGUCUCAGUUCGGAUCGGAGUCUGCAACCCGACUCCGUGAAGUUGGAAUCGCUAGUAAUCGCGCAUCAGCCAUGGCGCGGUGAAUACGUUCCCGGGCCUU
rnacentral:rRNA from 1 species